UACGUAGGGUGCGAGCGUUGUCCGGAAUUAUUGGGCGUAAAGGGCUCGUAGGCGGUCUGUCACGUCGGGAGUGAAAACACGGGGCUUAACCCCGUGCCUGCUUCCGAUACGGGCAGACUAGAGGUAUGCAGGGGAGAACGGAGUUCCUGGUGUAGCGGUGAAAUGCGCAGAUAUCAGGAGGAACACCGGUGGCGAAGGCGGUUCUCUGGGCAUUACCUGACGCUGAGGAGCGAAAGUGUGGGGAGCGAACAGG
rnacentral:rRNA from 1 species